GAAGAAGAGGAGGAGGAGGAAGUAGUUGAGGAGCCUGAAGAAAAGGAUGAAGCUGCAGCUGCCAAUGGAAAGGCCGCAGAUGCAUCUGCAACUGGUGGUGAUGAUAUGCAAAUAGAUGAUGAAAGGAAAAAACAUUCUGAGCUUCUCGCUCUUCCUCCACACGGAUCUGAAGUUUACAUUGGUGGCAUCCUCGAUGAUGUAACUGAAGAAGAUUUAAAGAAGUUUUGUGAACCAGCUGGGGAAGUUACUGAGAUUAGGGUGAUGAAAGGGAAGAAUUCAUCACAGAACAAAGGCUAUGCCUUUGUUACCUUCAGAACUAAGGAAUUGGCUGCAAAGGCCGUGGAAGAUCUGAAUGACACUGAAUUGAAGGGAAA
rnacentral:misc_RNA from 1 species